AUGUGCGUGCAUACGCAUAUAUGAUACAUAUCAAGCGGUACGCGGUAGCAUCUCGACGUCAAGAUAUAAUACGCAUAUGAUACGUAUCAAGCGGUACGCGGUAGCAUCGCGACGUCAAGAUAUAAUACGCAUAUGAUACGUAUCAAGCGGUACGCAGUACCAUCGCGACGUCAAGAUAUAAUAACGUUAUAAGAAAAUAUAUUUGGUCCUAUCGAGAUAAAGCGAAAUCAGUCAAUCCUUUCAAGAAGGCCGGUAUACUUUUAGCUGGGAUUGCAUACGGCAUAAGACCGUAUGCAAUCCCAGCUGAAGAACUUUGCUAAACAGCG